CGCGGGCUGCGCGGUGGGCGUCUCGCCCCGGUGACGCGCGGAGAGACCGGGAGACGGGCUCCUGGAGCUCAGAUGGGGAAGCUGAACCACUGGAAUUACGCAUCAAGUUAACGGGCUUGUCUGAACUUGCAGCUGUUGGAAGCGGAGCUCCAGCUUGAAUUCGGUUCCAGUCUGUUAUUCUUGCAACUUGAGGCAGGAGGAUGGGCUGAGGCAAGUUCUGCAGGAGAUGAAAGCUUUAGACGAGCAAAACCUACCUGAUGUGUAAGUUGGAAUAACGCAAAGUCAAGUGGACGAGAUGAUUUGAUCACAGCCAUCAAGUUUCGACACUGUUCUUUGCUAAGAAGUCAGCGCUGCGCUGGAGCCUGCCUGUAUCCCCUUGCAGUGGUUUGUUUGCCUCCGGAACCAAAUCAAAUCCACGUGUUACCUUCUGGUGCUUCAGUUGUAAGCCUCUCCUGAUCAAGACAACUUCUGAUCCAAUGCUGUAUUAAUGUUCUAGGCAUGACCGGCUGCUUCGGAUUAGAGCCCUCAGGUGGGGUUAUGGCAGUGUCUUGCCAAGUGCUUUACAAUUUCACAUGUCUGCUGAAGACGUGGACUGGUUCAGUGGUUACAAAAUGUCCCUUGCUACCAUGAGGUCAUUGGCAGGAGACCAAGGUUUGGACCUCACACAGGAUGUGAAACCUCCAAAAAGCCUAUAUAUAGAAUUGAUGCUGAAUUUGCAUCUGAUACCUUUAGAGUGUCUCCUCGAGGAUCUGCAGAUGGGUCAAAUGUGUAUGAUGACCAAAUUUUGAAAACAAAAGCACAAUAUAAGCAGAUUUUGAAGGAAAAAUAUAUGAUUUAGAAAGAUAAGCAGUUGUCACCAAAACCACAGGAGAGCUUUUCAAGGCUUGAGGUGAUGUCUGCUGAAAGGGUCACAGCUGAGGGGAAAAAUGUCCAUCAGAUUUGUCAACGUGAAGGUCACUGGCGGCCUCAGCAGGAGCACUCGAUGAUGUCUGAAGAUACACAGGGUUGAAGAGCUAGAGGUGAGAAAGACAGAAUUAACACCUUUAAAAGGUGAGGGUUCCUGGGACUUCCCUGGUGGUCCAGUGGUUAAGACUCUGAGCUUCCACUGCAAGGGGCAAUCUGGGGGGGCUGGAAAAAAAGAUGAGGGUUUCCAUCCCUCCUAUCUAUAUGCAACAGAAACUAACUUUUGAUUUUCAAAAUAAAGUAAAAUUUGCAUGUGUGAUAAAAUUCAAGUAAGCCUUUUCUAAAUUAUCUUAAGCACAACAACAUUAAUUUAUUGCCACUUUUCAUUGAAAUGACCUUUCCUAUUCCUAUUCUUCUUGGCUGGCUCUUGAAGUGCAUCCCUGGUUUGUCUGUUAGGUAACUUAGCAGGGUCCGGAGACACACAAGAGGGGAGAACUGGGGGCAGGGUGCCUGAAGAAGGGAGAUUUGUGCUUUUUCACUUAUUUAUUUAUUUUUAAUGAGGAAGGUUUUUCAAGUUUAUAGGCUACAGAUAGAGACCCAAAGACUUGGAGGCUAAAAAUGAAAGUGAUAAGGACUAAUCAACGAAACAACAGGGAGGAAGAUGGAGGUAUCCAGAGCACAGGGGGAGCAGCUGAGGGUGUGGAGUGACCUCCCGUGUGCUGCAGAGACAGAGGUGCCCCCUCUGAAUGCAGAGGCUGCCGCAGUGUGGGACGGUGGAGCAUGAGGU